ACGUAGGUGGCAAGCGUUGUUCGGAAUUAUUGGGCGUAAAAGGCGCGUAGGCGGUGCGGUAAGUCACCUGUGAAAUCUCUGGGCUCAACUCAGAGUCUGCAGGCGAAACUGCCGUGCUUGAGUGUGGGAGAGGUAUGUGGAAUUCCCGGUGUAGCGGUGAAAUGCGUAGAGAUCCGGAAGAACACCGGUGGCGAAGGCGGCCCGCUGGGCAGGAGCUGACGCUGAUGCGCGACAGCGUGGGGAGCAAACAGGA
rnacentral:rRNA from 1 species